UACGUAGGGGGCUAGCGUUGUCCGGAAUCAUUGGGCAUAAAGCGCGUGUAGGCGGUUCGGUAAGUCCGCUGUGAAAGUCGGGGGCUCAACCCUCGAAUGCCGGUGGAUACUGUCGGACUAGAGUACGGAAGAGGCGAGUGGAAUUCCUGGUGUAGCGGUGAAAUGCGCAGAUAUCAGGAGGAACACCAAUUGCGAAGGCAGCUCGCUGGGACGUUACUGACGCUGAGACGCGAAAGCGUGGGGAGCAAACAGG
rnacentral:rRNA from 1 species